CCUACGGGAGGCAGCAGUGAGGAAUAUUGGUCAAUGGACGCGAGUCUGAACCAGCCAUGCAGCGUGCAGGAAGACGGCUCUAUGCGUUGUAAACUUCUUUUAUACGAGAGUAAACGCAGGUACGCGUAUCUGUCUGAAAGUAUCGUACGAAUAAGGAUCGGCUAACUCCGUGCCAGUAGCCGCGGUAAUACGGAGGAUUCAAGCGUUAUCCGGAUUUAUUGGGUUUAAAGGGUGCGUAGGCGGUCGGAUAAGUUAGAGGUGAAAUCCCGAGGCUCAACUGCGGAAUUGCAUCUGAUACUGUUCGGCUAGAGAGUAGUUGAGGUAGGCGGAAUGCAUGGUGUAGCGGUGAAAUGCUUAGAGAUCAUACAGAACACCGAUUGCGAAGGCAGCUUACCAAGCUACCUCUGACGUUGAGGCACGAAAGCGUGGGGAGCAAACAGGAUUAGAUACCCGAGUAGUC
rnacentral:rRNA from 1 species